GACGAACGCUGGCGGCGUGCUUAACACAUGCAAGUCGAACGGAAAGGCCCUGCUUUUGUGGGGUGCUCGAGUGGCGAACGGGUGAGUAACACGUGAGUAACCUGCCCUUGACUUUGGGAUAACUUCAGGAAACUGGGGCUAAUACCGGAUAGGAGCUCCUGCUGCAUGGUGGGGGUUGGAAAGUUUCGGCGGUUGGGGAUGGUCUCGCGGCUUAUCAGCUUGUUGGUGGGGUAGUGGCUUACCAAGGCUUUGACGGGUAGCCGGCCUGAGAGGGUGACCGGCCACAUUGGGACUGAGAUACGGCCCAGACUCCUACGGGAGGCAGCAGUGGGGAAUAUUGCACAAUGGGCGGAAGCCUGAUGCAGCAACGCCGCGUGCGGGAUGACGGCCUUCGGGUUGUAAACCGCUUUCGCCUGUGACGAAGCGUGAGUGACGGUAAUGGGGAAAGAAGCACCGGCUAACUACGU
rnacentral:rRNA from 1 species